rnacentral:rRNA from 1 species
CUACGGGUCGCUGCAGUGAGGAAUUUUGCGCAAUGGGGGAAACCCUGACGCAGCAACGCCGCGUGAGUGAUGAAGGCCCUCGGGUCGUAAAGCUCUGUCAAGUGGGAAGAACCUAUCGAUAUUGAAUAGAUAUUGAUACUGACGGUACCACAAGAGGAAGCACCGGCUAACUCCGUGCCAGCAGCCGCGGUAAUACGGGGGGUGCAAGCGUUAUUCGGAAUCAUUGGGCGUAAAGGGCGCGCAGGCGGCCUUGUCAGUCAGAUGUGAAAGCCCGGGGCUCAACCCCGGAAGUGCAUUUGAAACUAUGAGGCUUGAGUAUGGGAGAGGGAAGUGGAAUUCCUGGUGUAGCGGUGAAAUGCGUAGAUAUCAGGAGGAACACCGGUGGCGAAGGCGACUUCCUGGACCAAUACUGACGCUGAGGCGCGAAGGCGUGGGGAGCAAACAGGAUUAGAUACCCGGGUAGUC